UCUGAAGUUACAUCAAAAACU
rnacentral:piRNA from 1 species